rnacentral:rRNA from 1 species
UACGAAGGGGGAGCUAGCGUUGCUCGGAAUCACUGGGCGUAAAGGGUGCGUAGGCGGGUCUUUAAGUCAGGGGUGAAAUCCUGGAGCUCAACUCCAGAACUGCCUUUGAUACUGAAGAUCUUGAGUUCGGGAGAGGUGAGUGGAACUGCGAGUGUAGAGGUGAAAUUCGUAGAUAUUCGCAAGAACACCAGUGGCGAAGGCGGCUCACUGGCCCGAUACUGACGCUGAGGCACGAAAGCGUGGGGAGCAAACAGG